CGUGUAGGCGGCCAGGUAGGUCCGUUGUGAAAACUCGAGGCUCAACCUCGAGACGCCGGCGGAAACCCUUUGGCUAGAGUCCGGAAGAGGAGAGUGGAAUUCCUGGUGUAGCGGUGAAAUGCGCAGAUAUCAGGAAGAACACCCGUGGCGAAGGCGGCUCUCUGGGACGGUACUGACGCUGAGACGCGAAAGCGUGGGGAGAACA
rnacentral:rRNA from 1 species